rnacentral:rRNA from 1 species
GAUGAACGCUAGCGGCAGGCCUAAUACAUGCAAGUCGAGGGGUAGAGCUAGCUUGCUAGCUUGAGACCGGCGCACGGGCGCGUAACGCGUAUGCAACCUACCCUUUUCUGGGGGAUAGCCCGGAGAAAUCCGGAUUAAUACCGCAUAAGACCACGAUACGGCAUCGUGAUGUGGUCAAACAUUUAUGGGAGAAGGAUGGGCAUGCGUGCCAUUAGCUAGUUGGCGGGGUAACGGCCCACCAAGGCGACGAUGGCUAGGGGAUCUGAGAGGAUGGCCCCCCACACUGGUACUGAGACACGGACCAGACCCCUACGGGAGGCAGCAGUAAGGAAUAUUGGUCAAUGGGGGCAACCCUGAACCAGCCAUGCCGCGUGCAGGACGACGGCCCUCCGGGUUGUAAACUGCUUUUGUACGGGAAUAAACCCCGCUACGUGUAGUGGGCUGAAUGUACCGUAAGAAUAAGGAUCGGCUAACUUCGUGCCAGCCGCCGCCGUAACAC